rnacentral:rRNA from 1 species
UACGUAGGCAGCAAGCGUUGUUCGGAAUUACUGGGCGUAAAGAGUGUGUAGGCGGUGCUCUAAGUUCGGUGUGAAAUCUCCCGGCUCAACUGGGAGGGUGCGCCGAAAACUGGAGUGCUGGAGCGCGGGAGAGGAAAGCGGAAUUCCUGGUGUAGCGGUGAAAUGCGUAGAUAUCAGGAGGAACACCGGUGGCGAAGGCGGAUCUCUGGGCCGAUACUGACGCUGAGGAGCGAAAGCGUGGGGAGCGAACAGG